CGCGUAGGCGGUCUUGCAAGUCCUGUGCGAAAUCCCUCGGCUCAACUGAGGAACUGCACAGGAAACUGCUUGGCUUGAGUUCGGGAGAGGGAAGCGGAAUUCCGGGUGUAGCGGUGAAAUGCGUAGAUAUCCGGAGGAACACCGGUGGCGAAGGCGGCUUCCUGGACCGACACUGACGCUGAGGCGCGAAAGCUAGGGAGCAAAACG
rnacentral:rRNA from 1 species